rnacentral:rRNA from 1 species
UUUGGUGGCGAUAGCGAAGAGGUCACACCCGUUCCCAUGCCGAACACGGAAGUUAAGCUCUUCAGCGCCGAUGGUAGUCGGGGGUUUCCCCCUGUGAGAGUAGGACGCCGCCAUGC